GCGAACGUGGCGGAAUUGGUAGACGCGCGAGACUUAGGAUCUCGUGGCCUGUAUGGGCCGUGGGGGUUCGAGUCCCUCCGUUCGCACCA
rnacentral:tRNA from 1 species